rnacentral:tRNA from 10 species
ACAAAAGAAGUGAAUAUGCCCUGCCCCACCUUAACUGAUGACAUUCCACCACAAAAGAAGUGUAAAUGGCCAGUCCUUGCCUUAAGUGAUGACAUUACCUUGUGAAAGUCCUUUUCCUAGCUCAUCCUGGCUCAAAAAGCACCCCCACUGAGCACCUUGCGACCCCCACUCCUGCCCGCCAGAGAACAAACCCCCUUUGACUGUAAUUUUCCUUUACCUACCCAAAUCCUAUAAAACGGCCCCACCCUUAUCUCCCUUUGCUGACUCUCUUUUCGGACUCAGCCCGCCUGCACCCGGGUGAAGUAAACAGCCAUGUUGCUCACACAAAGCCUGUUUGGUGGUGUCUUCACACGGACGCGCAUGAAAGGGACGGGGGCAGAGAAAUUCUAGCCAGAAAAGUGUGGGUCACUGACAAACCGCCACUCUCAAGCCAAAAAACCUGAAACCACAGGCCAAAGUGAGAGCUUAUAUACCUGUUUUCCCACUUGAAUGCUGCUUUUUCCUCAACCACCCCUGGCCCCGCCCUGCGCCAUCCUGUGCCUAUUAAAACCCCAGACUCAGCUAGUACAUGGGACUAUGGCUGGACGUGGGAGAAAAGCAGCUUGACUUCAGAAGGACAGCUUAACAGCGUAACUUCGGAGAAGAAUCUGGCUGGAGAUGACCUGACUUCAGGGGAAGGUAAUCUUCCUACCCCCUCCGAUUUACAGCUCCCCUUCCCACUGAGAGCCACUUUCAUUAGCAAUAAAAUCCCCCGCAUUUACCAUCCUUCAAUUUGUUCAUGUGACCUCCUUCUUCCUGGAUGCCAGACAAGAGCUCAGGAGCCAUGGGUGUGGAUAUAAAAGGCUAUCACAUUGGCUCUUUGCCCUCACUGACAGAGAGCAGCUGCUCACAUGAAAUGGCAAAAGGGUCACUGAGCUGUUAAGCUGUCCACGGUUGGCAGAGCUAAAAGAGCACUGUAACAUGCCCUCUGGGGCUUCAGGAGUUGCAAGCAUCCCCACCUGGAUGCUGCUGCAGGGCCUGCGUGGAGUUUGUUCCUGCCAGCACACAAAAGCAACCCGCUGGAUCCUGCACUCGCUUGCUCCUGUUUGUGCACUCAUUCACUCACACGCCUCCUCCCACAAGGGAUAGACAGGGGCGGGCUGAGUAAAUGAGGCAACGCUGUCACAAGUCCCAUGAAGUGGUCAAGAAAAUAUCCUGCUUCAUUAAUUCCAGACAAAAAUGGAGCUGUAUUAUGUGGGAAUCACAUUAUAUUUAUAGGUUAUUGAUAUUAUUGAUACAGCUUGGCUGUGUCCCCAACCAGAUCUCAUCUUGAAUUGUAGCUCCCAUAAUUCCCACAUGUUUUGGGAGGGACCAUCUAGGAGAUAAUUGAAUCAUGGUGGCAGUUUGCUCCAUACUGUUCUCCUGGUAGUGAAUAAGUCUCAUGAGAUCCGAUGGUUUUACAAGGAGUUUCUCCUUUAGUUUUGCUGUUAUUCUCUCUUCUCUGCUGCCGUGUAAGAUGUUACUUUGCUUCUUCUUUGCCUUCUGCCAUGAUUGUGAGGCCUCCCCAGUCAUGUGGAACUGUGAGUCCAUUAAACCCCUUUUCUUCAUAAAUUACCCAGUCUGAGGUAUCUCUUUAUCAGCAGCAUGAGAACAGACUAAUACAGUUCAUUGGUACCAGAGGAUUGGGGCACUGCUGUAAACAUACCUAAAUAUGUGGAAGCAACUUUGGAACUGGGUAACAGGAAGAGGUUGGAACAGUUUGGAGGGCUCAGAAGAAGACAGGAAAAUGUGGGAAGUUUGGAACUUCCUAGAGACUCGUUGAAUGGCUUUGACCAAAAUGCUGAUAGUGAUAUGGACAAUGAAACGCUGGCUGAGGUGGCCUCAGAUGGAGAUGAGGAAUUUGUUGGCAAAUGGAGUAACCAUGACACUUGCUGUGUUUUAACAAAGAGACUGGUGGCAUUUGGCACCUGCCCUAGACAUUUGUGAAACUUUGAACUUGAGGAAGAUGAUUUAGGGUAUCUGGCAGAAGAAACUGCUAAUCAGCAAAGCAUUCAAGAGGCGGUUUGGGUGCUGUUAAAAGCAUUCAGUUUUAACAGAGAAACAGAGCAUAAAAAUGCGGAAAAUUUGUAGCCUGACAGUGCGAUAGAAGAGAAAAACCCACUUUUGAAAUGGAAAUUGUCAUCUUACAUUUGGAGUAGUUAAAAGUGGCACUGCCAUUAUCUGAUACUUAAAAGAAGAAGAAACAAUUGUGGAAACUAUUAAAUGCUCUUAAUAAGAUCAAAAUUUGGGAAAGAAUAAAAAAGUAUCUAAAAGGAUACUCUACAAACUUGUUUUUGGAUAUUACAAAAUUAAAAGAACAAAUAUUUAAAGCAUCCCAGGCACACCUGACCUUAAUAACAGGAACUGGAGUGCUUAAAGGAGCUGCAGACAGAUUAGCAGCUAGUAAUCCAUUAAAAUGGAUAAAAACACUUGGAAGCUCUGUGAUUUCAAUGAUGAAUGUGCUUUUAAUCUCUGUUAUUUGUCUUUGUAUAGUUUGCAGAUGUGGAUCCUGACUCCUGCAAGAAGUAGCUCACCGUGACAAAACUACCUUUGCCUUUAUUGAUUUGCAAAUCAAAGAAGGGGGACAUGUUGGGAGCAGGCCCCCCGAAACUGGCCAUAAACAAAACCGCUGCAGCACUGUAACAUGUUCAUAAUGGCCCUAAUGCCCACGCUGGAAGGUUGUGGGUUUACUGGAAUGAGGGCAAGGAACACCUGGCCUGCCCAGGGAGGAAAACUGCUUAAAGGCAUUCUUAAGCCACAAACAAUAGUAUGAGCAAUCUGUGCCUUAAGGACAUGCUCCUGCUGCAGUUAACCAGUACAACCUAUUCCUUUAAUUCGGCCCAUCCCUUCAUUUCCCAUAAGGGAUAUUUUUAGUUAAUUUAAUAACUAUAGAAACAAUGCUAAUGACUAGUUUGCUGUUAACAAAUACGUGGGUAAGUCUCUGUUCAGGGCUCUCAGCUCUGAAGGCUGUUGAGACCCCUGAUUUCCCACUUCACACCUCUAUAUUUCUGUGCGUGUGUCUUUAAUUCCUCUAGCGCCGCUGGGUUAGGGUCUCCGCAACCGAGCUGGUCUCGGCAGUAUCUCAUAUAUCUAUCUACUUUAUUGUAUGCCUUGAGUACAUCACUACAACAUGGAUAUUGCCACAAAAAUAUCUUUGUCUGACUAUUUUCCCACUCGAGUGACAUAGCCAGGGGAAUAGCAACUGGUGUCUAAAGAAACCCCAAGAAAUUUUAUGCAUGAACCAGGAAGACAAGAGAGGGUCACUCUCCCUAAGAUACCCAUAGGAAAUCAGAUUAGGGGUUUAGGUACAUUAACACAAAAUUAAACCAAAGCAAAGGCUUCUUCAGUAAUCUAUCAUUUUUUCUUAAGUCUGUACUUGCCCAACUGUUUUAGUCCUAUCAUCCUAACCUUAAAGGUAGCUGAAAAGGGAAGAGAAAAAGCAGAUGAAAAUGGAAAAUGGACCUCCGCCAGGGAUUAUGCAAAGCUAUAUCUUGCCCUUUGAAGAACACAAGUAUUACCAUUCAGAAAACUUUCCUCUAUAAUUCAUGCAAUGUAGAAAAAAAUGCACAAAAUCUAAAACUCCACAUUUGAAUGCCAGUCUAAAUAAUUGACAUUACUCAAAAAAACUUGGUAUUCAAAUAUGAAGUUUUUUCCAUGUUAAUGUUACUUAAAAAGAACAAAAAGGAGAAGACUAGGAUUGAGGGGCUUGGGAGAGGAAUGGGAGGAGAAACAAGAGGACAAAGAAAAGGGAAAAUGGUAGGAGAAAUUUAUAGCUGAAAUGAGACAACUAUUAUUCUUCAUGUUUACUAAAUGAAAUUUCAUUUAUAUGUGUCAUUUAAAUGAAAAAUAAUACAACUCAUAUUAUGGGAACUUCAUUUCUCAUAAAUCAUAUAAAUAAUUAUAUAUGUGUUUUUGUGUAUAAUUAGUCCAUAUUCCACAGAAAUAAUUUGAAAAAAUGCCCUAAGGAAAUCACCUCUUAUUAUACCUCUGCUUAACAAAAAGAUUAAUAUGAAACUUUAGAUUUCUUUUCUAGUUUUUUCUAAGAUAAUUUAAUAUAAAACUUGUAUUUUAUAUAUUCACUAUAUACUAUGUUAUAUAUUUACUUACCUACUAUAUAUAGUUUGUAUCUUUUUCCAUUAUUAAAAAACAACUAAAUAUAUCAUUAAAAUUGACCAAAUAUCAUAAUGACUUCAUUAGAUUUUAUUAUUUUUCAGCUGGUUCUCUAAGGUAUUUUGGGGAGAUCAUGUUUUCUGCAUAUAAUGAUUAUUAAACAAAACUAUAAGAGGCCAUGAUUUUAGACUGAGCUCAAGCACUAGGCCCUAACAGACCAGACCAAACAAAAUGGAGUCAUUCCUGCUAAAUGCCAUAUAAGAAAUUGGAAACUCUAAGGAAGCAAAGAGAUCUCAAAACAAACCUAUUUUGUCUUCUGAAAACAGGAGAUCACAGAAUAAUAAGGAAGUCCUCUCUGCUUUAACCUUUAUAGAAAAGUGACCUGAAGAAACCAAUCAGUUAUUAUUAUUAUUAUUUUUUUUUACCGUUGUUCUCUUUGCUUGUUUUCACCUUACAAAACCCACUGUUUUGCUAUUUUCCAGUGGAAUUGAGAAGAAGUUAGUUCAUUUACAACGGUGAAAGAAUGACAUCAAUGCCUAAAGUUUUGAUCAACUUCUUAAUUUUGAGAGAUUAACCAAAAGGGAGGAAUUAUUAAAUUAAGUUUAGCCUAAAGCUGCUUCCUUAUAUAUUUUAAGUUCAGCCUAAAGGUUUCUCCAUACAUAGUGAACUGUAAUCUAACUGGAAAUGUGAAUGGACUCUUGUAACAAGUAGCCAAAUCUCCAACCAUGGGAAAGUCCCAGAGUCACUGUGAACCUGUUUUGCUUAGAAGGAGGAGGAUUGUCCUUUAGCAAAUCAUUCUUUCUUCAAUUAAAAACUUCGUUAAAUU